rnacentral:rRNA from 1 species
UACGUAGGGUGCGAGCGUUAAUCGGAAUUACUGGGCGUAAAGCGUGCGCAGGCGGUUUUGUAAGCCAGGUGUGAAAUCCCCGGGCUCAACCUGGGAAUGGCAUUUGGGACUGCAAGGCUGGAGUGCGGCAGAGGAGACUGGAAUUCCUGGUGUAGCAGUGAAAUGCGUAGAUAUCAGGAGGAAUACCGAUGGCGAAGGCGGGUCUCUGGACAGUUCCUGACACUGAGGCACGAAGGCCAGGGGAGCAAACGGG